rnacentral:misc_RNA from 1 species
GAAAUGCGAUACGUGAUGCGAAUCGCAGAGAUCGGCGAGUCAUCCAAGUUUUGAACGCACCUUGCGCUCUCAGUGCUCCUGAGAGCACAUCCGUCUGAGCGUCGCCCCAAUUAUUGCCUCAAUCACCUCUCUACUCGAGUAGAGUGAUUGGUUCUUGGUUGUUCGCAUUUACUUUUUGUGAUUGCGUCAACUUGAAUAGAAAGAAGGAUAAGCUGUACCUUGUGUAUUAAGUGUUACACUGAGUUGGUACUGCAUUGGCAGUGAGGAGUUCUGCUCCUCUAAGUCCAGUGACUGGUGCUACUUGAUGUCUUGCUUGAUUACUGUGUUAAGCUUUGAUCUCAAUAAAGUUGGGAGUAAAUCAUCAAGGACCGACCUCAGAUCGGGUGACGUAACCCGCCGA